GGACGAACGCUGGCGGCGUGCUUAACCCAUGCAAGUCGAACGGAAAGGCCCUGCUUUUGUGGGGUGCUCGAGUGGCGAACGGGUGAGUAACACGGGAGUAACCUUCCCUUGACUUUGGGAUAACUUCCGGAAACUGGGGCUAAUACCGGAUAGGAGCUCCUGCUGCCUGGUGGGGGUUGGAAAGGUUCGGCGGUUGGGGAUGGACUCGCGGCUUAUCAGCUUGUUGGUGGGGUAGUGGCUUACCAAGGCUUUGACGGGUAGCCGGCCUGAGAGGGUGACCGGCCACAUUGGGACUGAGAUACGGACCAGACUCCUACGGGAGGCAGCAGUGGGGAAUAUUGCACAAUGGGCGGAAGCCUGAUGCAGCAACGCCGCGUGCGGGAUGACGGCCUUCGGGUUGUAAACCGCUGUCGCCUGUGACGAAGCGUGAGUGACGGUAAUGGGUAAAGAAGCACCGGCUAACUACGUG
rnacentral:rRNA from 1 species